ensembl:lncRNA
UUUCAACUAUUAAUUAAUGUCUUUUUAUACAUCUACAAAAAAAACAAGUAUGCAUCAUGUAGAGUUCCAUGUAAAGAAUCACAGUUGUUUUAUUUGAUACUGCUGAUCUUCCAAAUCAACUAAGAACACAGCCCUGCUCAACCUGCACCCACUCCAUUUGAAGACUACAGAACAGUGAUGACCAGUCUCGUUUACAGAAAGUUGACCUAAUUGAGGGUUCCUUUCUAUCCAUGUAUUGAAUGAAGGACUGUAUUCAAGCCAUUCAGUCCAUCCAAGUUUUUCUAUACAAAAAGAAGCUAAAGUGAACCUUCUCAAAAGAUAACCCCAAAACAAAGACUGGGCACCACGGUUUAGCUAACUAAAACUAACUUGAAAAAGACACUGCUGUAUUUACAAGCCACAUGAGAUACAAAAAUAAAGUUUCUUAAAAAAAAGACAUUAACAUCCAAAAUGAUGAUAAUGUCUUUUUCCUGUUUAUUUACUUAAUAUUUAUAUAUUUUUUUACAAAAUAAGAAACAAAAAAGCUAACAGGUUUGUGAGGAUUUGAGAAGGGGGAAAGCCAUUGAACAAACAAGGACUACAGUACUUGUGUUUUUAUAUAUAUAUGUAAAUAUAUAUAUAUAUAUAUAUAUGUACAAGACAAGUUUAUCCAUUUAAAUUCUUUUAAAACGCACAGUACAAAAAAAGAAAAAUAAAUCACUGACAAAAAGAAAAAGAAAAUUAUAAGUACAAUUCUGUCCAUCAGUAAUCAUUGCUGCAGGUUUCUGAAUAACAAUAUAUUGGGGGAACAGCAGGAGGGGGGAGCAUGUUGGGGGCUUAGAAAAAAAACUGAACAGGAAACACAGAGCUAAGGUAAUGGCGUGUCCUGACCUCUCGCACUGGCCUCUGGUACAACGCCAUUUUCUACUCCAGAUUCUCUAGUGGAAUAAGCAACAACCUACCGAUGUAACAAACUUUUAAUAGGGGUAAAGACAUUUUAUAACAACGGAUAUUGGGAACAAAGUUUAUGUUGCAUGAGUGUGAUAGGUCUGUACCUCACUGUGGAAGUAACGAGAGGACCAAAACACACCAAAGCCCCGCAGUGUUACACACACACACACACACACACACACACACACACACACACACACACACACACACACACACACACACACACACACACACACACACACACACACACACACACAACCCCGGUUGCGCUCGCUUAUACAUCUUUAUAUAUAUCUAUAUUUGGUAAAAAAUAAACUUCACAAUUCCUCUGCCAAUUAAGAGAAUCCAUUCUUGAAACUAAAAAUGUUGUAAAAACUCAACGGGAGCCAAAGGAGAAAGGUAAUUUGUGUUUGGGUAUAGAGUGGGGGCAGGGUAAGAGUACAUGUUCACUACUUACAGGGGUGAGGAAACAGCCUGUACCCCCACCUUCCGGUGCAACUCCCAUUGGUAAAAAAAAACUAAACAAAAGCCAAACAAAGUAAUUCGUUCUUUUAGAAAAAAAAAAACUAUGUUACAUACAACAGAGAAGUAGGGUGGGAUGUUGAACACAAUACAAAUUCCAAACACUCAGUAAUCCGCUCUGAACAGUCUGUUACAAUAACCAUACAACUUCACUCUUCCUCUCUUUUUAAGACGGCUGCCGUUCCUCCUCCAAACCACCACUGCCCUCUGCACGACCAUAGAGAUCAGCGCUUGCCCUCUCUCGGGACUGCGCCACCUUUGGCAGAGGGGGGAGUACGGCAGAUUUCACUGAGCCGAGAGCAGGGAUAGAUCUGUGUGAGAGAGAGAGAGAGCGAGCGAGCGCUAGAGCGAGAGAUCUCAGCGAGAGAGCGAGAUCUCAGCGAGAGAGCGAGAUCUCAGCGAGAGAGCGAGAUCUCAGCGAGAGAGCGAGAUCUCAGCGAGAGAGCGAG